GCCAGCAUGGCACAGUGGUUUGAGUGUUGGAUUAUAACUCUAGAGACCAGGUUUCAAUUCCCAACUUGGCC